AUUUAAAUAGUUUAAUAAAAACAUUGGUCUUGUAAACCAAUAAUAAGAAAUUUUCUUUUUAAAUA
rnacentral:tRNA from 1 species